rnacentral:rRNA from 1 species
UACAGAGGGUGCGAGCGUUAAUCGGAAUUACUGGGCGUAAAGCGCGCGUAGGCGGUUUUGCAAGUCGGGUGUGAAAUCCCCAGGCUUAACCUGGGAACUGCAUUCGAGACUGCAUUACUAGAGUAUGGGAGAGGGAAGUGGAAUUUCCGGUGUAGCGGUGAAAUGCGUAGAUAUCGGAAGGAACAUCAGUGGCGAAAGCGACUUCCUGGACCAAUACUGACGCUCAUGUGCGAGAGCGUGGGGAGCAAACAGG